rnacentral:lncRNA from 1 species
AAGCUUGGGAACAAAAAAAGUAAGUAUGUAGCCAUCAUGGUGUAUUACAAAGUGCUUAAUCUUGGCUUUUUAGUGUUUACUGACCACACAACCUAAUCAGUUAACCUUCUCAUCUGAAAAUUUGGGAUAGAAAUAUUAACCCAAUAUUGAUAUGAAACAUAUGAAAGGAUGUGAAAAAAUUUUAUAAUUUAAGGGACCAGUGACCCUUCAAGGUAAGCCUUAGUAAUAUACAAGGCAAGAACACUAACAUAAUUAACCUUCACCUGGUCAUUCAAGCAAGAACCCCAAAUCUCCCAGCUAUAAACACUUUCCAGUAGUUUAACUUUUCCUCAAGGCACGUGAUAUGGUUUAGCUCUGUGUUCCCACCCAAAUCUCAUAUCGAAUUGUAAUUCUCACAUGUCAGGGGAGGGAAGUGAUUGGGUCAUGGGGGCAGUCUCCCCCAUGCUGUUCUCGUGAUAGUGAGUAGUUCUCACUAGAUCUGAUGGUUGUGUAAGUGUCUGACAGUUCCUCCUUCACAUGCUCAUACUCUCCACCUUGUGAAGGAGCCUGCUUCCCCUUCUGCCAUGAUCAUAAGUUUCCUGAGGCCUCCCCAGCCAUGCAGAGCUUUCCUUCCCACGCUCACACUCUCUCCUACUGCCUUGUGAAGAAGGUGACUGCUUCCCCUUCUGCCAUGAUUGUAACUUUGCUGAGGCCUCCCCAGCUAUGCAGAACUGUGCCUGAACUCUGGCAAUGACCUGAAGGGCCCUCACACAGAUUCUUCUCCAGUGCCUCCAGAAAACAACGCAGCUCUGCGACCCCUGAUCUCAGCCUCAUGGAAUACUGGGCAGAGAAUCCAGUCACAGCUUGCCUACACUUCUGCCCUACAAACUGGAAGCUGAUAAAUUUGUUUCAUUUUAAACUGUUAUGUUUGUGGUUAUCUAUUACACAGCAAUAUGGGCUUAUUCCAAACAGGCUGUAUGAAUUCAGGUCCCUGACCAAAUCUGGUUGACUGUAAAAAUGAAAAAGGACAACCUGAGUGCCUUACCUUACGUAAAUAUUUCCUAACUCCUGCCCUGUGUCUGUGGCAGACACCCUGCUCCGCU